GUUAUUUUACUUACUCCG
rnacentral:snRNA from 1 species